GCAUAUCAUAGCGGAGGAAAAGAAACCAACCGGGAUUGCCUCAGUAAACGGCGUAAGUGAAGCGGCAAGAAGCUCAAAUUUGAAAUCUGGCCCUUCCGGGGUCCGAGUUGUAAUUUGUAGAGGAUGCUUCGGGUGCGGCCCCCGUCGAAGUGCCCUGGAACGGGCCGUCGGAGAGGGUGAGAAUCCCGUCUGGGACGGGGUGUCCGUGCCCGUGUGAAGCUCCCUCGACGAGUCGAGUUGUUUGGGAAUGCAGCUCUAAGUGGGUGGUAAAUUUCAUCUAAAGCUAAAUACCGGCCGGAGACCGAUAGCGCACAAGUAGAGUGAUCGAAAGAUGAAAAGCACCUUGAAAAGGGAGUUAAACAGCACGUGAAAUUGUUGAAAGGGAAGCGCUGACGACCAGACUCGGCCGCGGGGUUCAGCCGGCAUUCGUGCCGGUGUACUUCCCCGCGGCCGGGCCAGCGUCGGUUUGGGCGGUCGGUCAAAGGCCCCCGGAAUGUAGCGCCCCUCGGGGCGCCUUAUAGCCGGGGGUGCAAUGCGGCCUGCCUAGACCGAGGAACGCGCUUCGGCUCGGACGCUGGCAUAAUGGUCGUUAACGACCCGUCUUGAAACACGGACCAAGGAGUCUAACAUCUACGCGAGUGUUCGGGUGGCAAACCCGUGCGCGCAGUGAAAGCGAACGGAGGUAGGAGCCCCCUCGCGGGGCGCACUAUCGACCGAUCCUGAUGUCUUCGGAUGGAUUCGAGUAGGAGCGUAGCUGUGGGGACCCGAAAGAUGGUGAACUAUGCCUGAAUAGGGUGAAGCCAGGGGAAACUCUGGUGGAGGCUCGCAGCGGUUUCUGACGUGCAAAUCGAUCGUCAAAUUUGGGUAUAGGGGGCGAAAGACUAAUCGAACCAUCUAGUAGCUGGUUUCCUGCCGAA
rnacentral:rRNA from 1 species